CAUGUAGGUGGUGCCUUAAGUUGGAUGUGAAAUCUCCUGGCUUAACUGGGAGGGGUCAUCCAAAACUGGGGCUCUUGAGGGCAGGAGAGGGAAAUGGAAUUCCCGGUGUAGCGGUGGAAUGCGUAGAUAUCGGGAGGAACACCAGUGGCGAAAGCGGUUUCCUGGCCUGCAUCUGACACUAAUAUGCGAAAGCUAGGGGAGCAAACG
rnacentral:rRNA from 1 species